UGGGGUGUGGCUCAGCGGUUGAGCACUUGCCUGCACGCAGGAGGCCCUGGGUUUGGUCCUCAGUACCACAU
rnacentral:tRNA from 1 species